rnacentral:rRNA from 1 species
CCUACGGGCGGCAGCAGUAGGGAAUAUUGCUCAAUGGGGGAAACCCUGAAGCAGCAAAGCCGCGUGGGGGAUGAAGGUUUUCGGAUUGUAAACUCCUUUUGUUAGAGAAGAUAAUGACGGUAUCUAACGAAUAAGCAGCGGCUAACUCCGUGCCAGCAGCCGCGGUAAUAAGGAGGGUGCAAGCGUUACUCCGAAUUAAUUGGGGUUAAGAGCGCGUAGGCGGGAUAGAAAAGCAGAUGUGAAAUUCUAGGGGUUAAACACAGUACUGCAUGUGAAACUGCGGUUCUAGAGUAGGGGAGAGGUAGGGGGAAUUCUUGGUGUAGCGGUAAAAUGCAUAGAGAUCACGCAGAAUACUGAGUGCGAAGGCAGCCUACCAGAACACAACUGACGCUGAUGCACGAAAGCGUGGGUAGCGAACAGGAUUAGAUACCCGUGUAGUC